rnacentral:rRNA from 1 species
CCACGGACCCCACCCCCGGG